GACGAACGCUGGCGGCGUGCUUAACACAUGCAAGUCGAACGGAAAGGCCCUGCUUUUGUGGGGUGCUCGAGUGGCGAACGGGUGAGUAACACGUGAGUAACCUGCCCUUGACUUUGGGAUAACUUCAGGAAACUGGGGCUAAUACCGGAUAGGAGCUCCUGCUGCAUGGUGGGGGUUGGAAAGUUUCGGCGGUUGGGGAUGGACUCGCGGCUUAUCAGCUUGUUGGUGGGGUAGUGGCUUACCAAGGCUUUGACGGGUAGCCGGCCUGAGAGGGUGACCGGCCACAUUGGGACUGAGAGACGGCCCAGACUCCUACGGGAGGCAGCAGUGGGGAAUAUUGCACAAUGGGCGGAAGCCUGAUGCAGCAACGCCGCGUGCGGGAUGACGGCCUUCUGGUUGUAAACCGCUUUCGCCUGUGACGAAGCGUGAGUGACGGUAAUGGGUAAAGAAGCACCGGCUAACUACGUG
rnacentral:rRNA from 1 species